GGCCCAGGCUCUGCCCUGUCCCCGCACUGCCAUCUCCUUCUUUCCUCCUUGGCACCCCAAAAAUUGCCGCUGGAUCUAAACUAGAUUAGACUAGUGGAUUGUAAAUAAAUAAACAAACUAGGCUCUCUCUGUUCAUUCAUUAUUUCCUGGAGCAGUUCUAAACUGGGAUGACUUGGGAGACAGAAAACGGCAGGUUUAUAGAGGGAAAGGGCCUGGAAAGGACGGUCGGAGUUUGUGGUGGUUGUUGUUGAAGGGCGGGGCGUGGAAUGCGGAAAAUGUGUAAAAUGUGUUACGUAACAGUGAACAAAAAUAAGACUGCAUAAUAAAACUUUUGUUUCUGUAUUUUGUAGAGAUUCUAAUAAAAUGACCAGAUAAAAGAUAACUAAACAUUGCAUUUCACU
rnacentral:lncRNA from 1 species